rnacentral:tRNA from 1 species
GGCAGGUUACCCAAGUGGCCAAAGGGAGCUGACUGUAAAUCAGCCGUCUUCGACUUCGCAGGUUCGAAUCCUGCACCUGCCACCA